rnacentral:tRNA from 1 species
GGGGAUUGCUCAGUGGAAGAGCACUUGCCUAGCAUGCACAAGUCUUGGGUUCAAACCCCAGUAUCUCCA